ACGCGUAUGAAAGUCAAGCUGAAAGACUUUACUCAAUGACGUAAGUGGUGGUGCAUGGCCGUUCGUGGUUCGUGGAUUGAUUUGUCUGGUUAAUUCCGAUAACGAGCGAGACCCCAACGCUCUAACUAGGGGAUUGUGGCCCGAGCCUGGUUAACUCUAGGCCCAGCCUCAUCCCAUCGCUUCUUAGACGUUGCUGGGCCGAUAAGGUCCUAUAACGGGUUAAUAACAGGUCAGUGAUGCCCUUAGAUGUUCUUGGCCGCACGCGCGUUACAAUGGCAAGUAAAGCGAGUGCUUAAUUGUGAGUCCCCGCGUUGGUCGAAAUGCCAAAGAAAUCCCUAGUCCUUGCCAAGACUGGGAUAGUCCAUUGUAACUAUUGGUCUUAAACGAGGAAUUUUUAGUGAGCGCCAGGUCAUUAACCUGCGCUGA
rnacentral:rRNA from 1 species